rnacentral:lncRNA from 1 species
CCAAAAUACUAUGCAAAGGAUUGGUGCUGUAGCAUAGAAUCCUGUGAUGUCACACGCCUGAGGCAGUUUGCUUCAGUUCGGUUAUCAACUGUUGUGUGAGUUUCAACUGUUAGAGCAGCAAAUAUGUUGCGUUAUUCUGCCAUUUGCCUCAGCCAGUCUAUAAAUAUGAGUCGGUUUCAGGUACAAAUUCACGUAAAUAUGUUUCAGUAACGUAUUACAUGCCUGUCUUGUACAAGAGGGAGUACACCAAGUAAUAGUCAUGUUAUUUUAAAACUUUAAAACAAAGUGUGUUGCAUGGUUGUUGUUGUUUUCUCUCAGAAGGAGAAUGAUAACUAUUUAAAAGGGUCAAACGACCCGGGGCAACUUCCACACAACUCUUUAAAGUAUAUUUGUGGCAGGAAACAAGAGGCUGAGAUUAAGGAGGAGGUAGCAGACAGGCAAUGUCACCACUCCCCUCCUGCCCAGACUGGCUGUGAGAAGGCAAACAGAGCCUGGCGCUAAGGGUAGACUUAGAUUGGUGGGGCGGUGCCCCCUUAGCUAAUAACCAUCUUAGCUAAUAGACCAGCCUGCACUGUUAUAAUUUAACCCAUAGCUAAGACUAAGCAUGUGCAUGUGAAACAACCAAGUAUUGAUUCUCUAUUUAUCCCUUUCUCUAUUGUUUGCCCUGCACUGAAUUUUAGAUUAUAAGCUCCCUGGGACAGAGAUGUCUCUUCCUGUGCUCUAUAAAGAGCCAAACAUCCUGAUAGUAACAAAUAAACAGCAACAGCCGCUCAUGCUCUCAGUGCUGGUCUGAUUCUGUUUGCUGAGAACUAUCCAGAAAGGGAAGAUGCUUCCUUGUGAGGCAUUCCUGAAAAAGUUAAUAUGAUUAAUUAUCGGAGGAAAAUCCAAUAACAUCUGAUAUGACAGAAUGCUGGCUAAUUAGCAAAAUGGGGAAAGCCUACAUAUAAAGUUAGAUCUAGUAAAUAUGACUUCUUAAAAAAAGACUUCUUAAAGAAGGAGGAGGGAAGGCAGAUGCGCAAGCUAAUAGAAUAUUUAACAUUGGGCAAGAUCCCAUGAGUGCCUUUGCUGUGCCAUAUAUACAGCACCACUGAAGGACUUCACGAAACUCUCUAGGAAAGGGUAAUUUUAAGAUGGUGACAGCCUAAAACUGGAGGGUGGGGAGAAAGAGAGCGAACUAUGCCUCUGUGGUAGAAAGGCUGCCAAAACACAUCAUUUUCAGAGCAAAAUUGUGAAGUUCUAUGGGAAUUGUCAUGACAACAUCUGGCUGGCUUCUUAGCAAUAUCAAUGUGUGGCAGCAAAUAGCAAGCCUGAGCUCUCAAAAAGCAAUUGUGACAAGAUCUACAAUGAUUUGCCCAUUGGUACACUAUAGACACGUUAUGAGCAGUCAGCAUGCUGCACAUUCAGAAAAGAAUUUGCUCCAGAAUAUAUUUUUUUCAAGUUUCUUAGAAGAGAUCUUUUGAAAAACCCACUACAACUCUUUAAAUCUUUUUUUUUUUAAAGCAGAACUAAACCCAUCCUGUCCAGUAUGCUUAAGAUAAGCAGAGUUUACCCAUCCAAAUGAAAAAAACAAAUUUGUAAUUGUCAAAUUGCAGUUGUUGGUAGUGAAAAGACAGUCUGAGAUGGAAGGGGCUAUAAUGUAUCUUGCAACUCAGACCCCCUGGGCUGCCUGAUAUUUGAAGAACUUGUAGAUUCCAGUGAUAUGCCAAGCGGAAAACAAACCUCAGUUUAUUCUUCGUGAGAAUCUUCUAUUAGACUGGAAUAAAGCUUUCGGGUUACAGUUCUUAUUUAACGUAUUUAUAUUCCACCUUGCAACAUUCUCAAAACAUCAUUAUAAAAUAUAAAGUAAUAAAGCAUAUCAGUUAAAAACAAUAGUUAAGAUACAAUAAAGCAUCGUUAGAGCCAGCUAAAAUACCAUUAAAAUACCAAUUACUGUGAUCGUCUAGUUGUCAACAUUGUCUGCACCUAGUUUUCAAUGGCCUGUCUGAAUAGGAAAGUCUUUCCUCAUCAGGGGUUCCAUCAUCUUGUCUUAGUUGGUGGUUAGGAACUGGAAUUUUUUUUCCAUAUAUUUUUAUUUAUUUAUAAAGAAUGCUGGAUGUCUUUUCCCACCGGAUAUGUGACUAAGACUACAAGUCCCAGAAUUCCUAUUGGGACAUCAGUAGUGUCAUUUCUUCCACAAAUAAGGUAAAGGUAAAUGGACCCCUGACCAUUAAGUCCAGUCGCAGACGACUCUGGGGUUGCGGCGCUCAUCUCUCUUUAUUGGCCGAGGGAGCAGGCAUUUGUCCACAGACAGCUUCCGGGUCAUGUGGACAGCAUGACAAAGCUGCUUCUGGAGAACCAGAGCAGCACACGGAAACGCCAUUUACCUUCCCGCCAGAGUGGUACCUAUUUAUCUACUUGCACUUUGAUGUGCUUUCAAACUGCACAGGCUCAGCAUCUUAGAAAUAAAAGAUAAUUCCAAACAGACCUAUAAGCAACGGUCUCUUUCCUCACAACCUCCAUUUUGCCUGGAUCUGUAUUCACUCACUGGAGAGGGUCAUUUACACAUCCUUACUCCCCAGAGCCUGAGAACAAAAACUAAGCCACCAGCCUUCCAAGAUGGUGAAUUUGCAAUUCAGUACCUGUGUCACUGGAUCUAAGGUUAAACACUCAUGUGGUAGCUAGCAGAAAACAACAAUAGUUAAUUAUCACCCCAUCAAGGAGUUCAGAGACCACUUAGUAUACUUCAGUGUAAAUUUCCCACUUUAAAGCCUUCAAUAAUACACAUUUAGGCAGUCGCCAUUUCAGUGCCAAUUAAAUAAUUAACAGGGGCUCUGGGAAUGUUCACCCCACUUUCCAAGUCACAAUGGUAAAUUACUUACCUUAAGGGCCCAGAAGGGGGGAAGAGGCAGAGGUCAGUCCUCCUUGAUCUGUGUGCUGUCAAACAAUGUGCAAGCCAUUGCAGAAAGCUUUUGCAAGGAGGCUUCAUCAUUGAGAGCACUCAACUAAGCACUCACAAAAACUCAACCCAUUUUUGGGUCUGAAUAGCAGAUAUUUCUGCAUAAUGUGGGCAACAGAUGAAGAACAGAGUCUCUAUGGCAGGGUGGAGGACGUUUGGCCCUCCAGUGCUGAUGAAAUCCAAUGAGGGGUGAUGGCCCUGCAACAUCCCCAGGUUUCUUCUUCCUUGCCCUAUGGCAUAAAAUAACAGAAUUUCCCCAAUAACCUUUUUCAUAUAUGUCUAAACUGCUUGGACUUUGUCUAGAAGACUGGAAAAGUCAGCAGAAUAAUCUAGUCAUAAUGAUACCUGCGAGUGACAAAAACAAGAGGAAACUCUCCCGUCUCCUCAUCUAGCCUAGCUAUCUGCAUGAAUUCCCAAAAUUUGCAUUUAGACAAAAGGACUCUUAUUUAACAACUACUCAGGGAGGCAGAAGUGGUACAGGAUUUUCAGACUAGCUAUAGUAAGGCUUCAAGGACAUUAUAGGCAUUUAGCUCUUUCGCUGGUUGGAAGAGAACAGCUUGAGGGAAAGGUAAUGUGAUUUUGAGAGGAAACUUGGCUAGAAGCAGAAAGGUUAAGCACCCUCUACAUUCUGUAGCUUUGUGCAUUUGGUUUUCAUUAAGGGGGGGAAAGACAUUGGGUCGGAGUUGCAUUUUGAUGUAAAAAAUGACAGGACUAGGGCAUCUAAUUGUUGUGCAGAAGUUGGAAUUUCUGGUGUUUUGUUUGGAAUUCUGUAACAUUUACUUUGGGCAAAUCCAAAAUCCUGUAAUAGCACCUUCUCAUAAUCCCAUUACUAACUUUCUUAAUUACUUAAAAAACACAGGGAGCUUCCAAACCAAGCAAACAGAUACAUACUAACAAACAGAUCUCUCACUCCAACUCUCCCUACAGAUUGCUCAGUACAGUGACACCUCGGGUUACAGACGCUUCAGGUUACAGACUCUGCUAAACCAGAAAUAGUACCUCUGGUUAAGAACUUUGCUUCAGGAUGAGAACAGAAAUCAUGCAGCGGCUGCACAGCAGGGCCCAUUAGCUAAAAGGGGUACCUCAGGUUAAGAACAGUUUCAGGUUAAGAACAGACCUCCAGAACGAAUUAAGUCCUUAACCCGAGGUACCAAAUGUAUCUGAGUCAAAAACGUAUCUCUUUGGUGCUCAUAAGAGACUCCAGAUGAAUUUAGGCCAAUUUGUGUCUGUUUGAAAGCCACAUACUAGCCUUAAUUAUCCUCUUUCAGAAUUAACUCUUCACUUGCUAAGGUUUAUGGCCAAUCGUUUGCUAUCACUUCAUGUCAUCUAAAUUUAAUGCCAUGUUUUCCAAUCUUUUAAGAGAUGCAUUGCCUGAAAGCCUAUAAGACGUUUAUUCCACAUUAUAUCUAGAACUGAAAACGAGAUGGAAUUCAAAUAUCCAUUACAUCCUGAAACAAUUUCAUUACCAAUGAAGUAAACUCACAUCUACCUAUAAGCUUAUCUUUCGGCUACAAAAUGGGAAUUUUGAUUGAUAAUAGUUGCUGCAUUAUGGCAAGAAUGGAUUCAUUUUUACUUGAACUAAGACAGUGCUCUAUUUUUUUAGGAUAUCUUUAGCACAUUUGAAGAGGAUGAUGAGAUUGAAAUUGCAUGUGGUGAUAUGGGCGGGGGGGUUAUAUGCAAUUAUUCUAUAUCAGUUGUUUCUUAAGUCUUGAAAAGGUAAAAAAUGUGAUUUUAUCAAUGCAUUCAUAAUACUAUCAUAGUACUUAUACUUUGGACUGCAUUAUGUUCUUAUCUCAGAUACAAAUAAUUUUUAUAUUGUUGUAUGUUGCUAGUGAAUACCAGUGAUUGUGUUUCAUACAGUUCUUAUUCAGAAAUGACUUUGGACACCAAUUAUUUAUGAUUUGCACCUCUUGUCUCAUUUAGUUAUACUAAGGCUGCACUCCUAACCAUAACUUCUCAGAUGUAAUUCUUACUGAAUUUGAUUAGGUUUACUAGUGGAAUUAAGACUGCAACCAACAACAAACAAAGGAAGACUUUUUUCUCGAAGAAGCAGAUUAUAGGCCACAGAUGGGUGGAGGUUUUCAAAUACAGUGGUACCUCGGUUUAAGAACAGUCCUGUAUAUGAAUGAUUUGGUUUACGAACUCCGCAAAUCCGGAGGUAGUUUCCUGUUUUCAAACUUUACCUCAGUCUAAGAACAGCAUCCGAACGGUGAAAGGGCACCAGCGGCAGGAGGCCUCAUUCGGGAAAGUGCGCCUCGGUUUAAGAAUGGUUUUGGUUUAAGAACGGACUUCCGGAACGGAUUAAGUUCGUAAACCAAAGUACCACUGUAAAUGCCAUUGGAAACCCAAUGGCACACUUUCACACUUUUCAUUCCUCUGUCUUAUGCCUACUGUGUGAGAGCUUUCAGUUUGAUUGCACAACUGUGGACAAAGCACAGAUACCAGUUGAGUUAUAGUAUUGUGAAGGCUGGUCUUCAGGUGCAACUGAACAUUAGCAUGGCCUGUGCUGAGCUUCUGACUUCUUGAAACAACAGCCAGGAUCUGCCAAAAAUGGCAAGAAGCCAGCUCAAAUACAAAUUUAAAAGGAAGGAAGUCGAGGUCAUGCCAACCCACCUUUAAGAUAAAAUAUCACAUUUAAUGCCAAGUAUUUCAUUAUGAAGAUGUCAUGCCAGCCAGAAUGCAACAAGUUUAGGAGCAUAGUCCUAAUGGCAGUUGGGUGGUGUCUUGUAUGUCUCCUUCUGGCAACUCCUACAGCCACGCUAGUGCCAAAUGUAUUGUUUUGGUUUAUUUUGGACCAUAUUAGUGAGACUGGGGGGAGGGGUGUGUCUUGUCAUCUGGGUAGGACCUCCGUACACACUGCCCAGGUUUGCGCCCCAGAGAGGUCAGUUCUGGGAACUCAGCAAAAACAAAUGUGGGAGGCAGCAGUUACAAGUUAUAAGCUCAACCUGAAGUGUAAGCGCUAUGGUUUGCCUUCAUUGGUGGGAGAGAAUAUCAGGUCUCAGCUACAAAUACUUACAUAUAGACAGAAGUGCUCCCUGGUCAGUGGUACAGUGAUACCUCGAUUCUUGAACAAAAUCGAUUCCGGAAGCCCAUUCAGCUUCCGAAAUGUUAGAAAACUGAGGCACAGCUUCCCAGUGGUUGCAAGAGCUUCUUGCACUCAGGGGAAGCCGUGUCGCACAUUUGGGUUCCAAAAAAUGUUUGGAAAUGAAAGCAUUUACUUCCAGGUUUUCGGCAUACAAGAACUGAAACGUACGACAACGGAGGCGUUCAAGAACUGAGGUUCCACCGUAACACGAUCAUUCUGAGACUGAGUUUGUGUUCUGUUGCUGUAACCAAUGGGCGGAGGCAUUCACCAUUCUAAUCAACACUCGCUAGUAAUCAUUUUGAUACUAUUGUCUCUGGAGGUUCUGUGCUGGUCCCAUCAAGGAUUAUUUUGGCAGCAUGAAAGCACUCUUUGUGCUAGAAGUUCAAGGGUAUUGCAAAACAUAAUGCCUAAUUAAAAUCCAGCCUUUCAUCUUCCAUCUUGGAGCCAGUUUGUCCAUUUCCUCAGCUUCUUCUUUCAUACCCCUUUGUGUUCCUAUCAUCAUCAUCAUUAUUAUAAUCAGGUUUCAUUACCAACAUAUGCUAUAACAAACUAAUUCAUGGCAUAAACAGUAAAAAGAAAAGAAAAACCAUGUUGCACAUUAACCUUAAUGACACUGGGUCUAUAGGAUUAUCAGCUGAUAGUAUUAGAUAGAUGCAGUGCCAAGUUCACAUCGGUGCAAAGACAACAGGAUAACAUUAUUUUAAUGGAAUUUUAAUUGAUGCUUAAUUGUGUAAUGAAAUUGUGCAUGGCAACCGAUGGAAGCAUUAUCCUCCCUUUAAAGUUGAUUCAAGUGCAUGUGCUAAAUUGAAUUUCCAAUGUUCCACUGCUGUCGUUGAUCAGAAAAGUCACAAAUGCUGCCUGAGCGCAGGUAAAAUUGUACGGCAUGAACAUUUUUCUUCUGGGCUGGUGCUUUAGGAUAGCAAUGAUGAAGAGUUGAAUGCAUUCCAAGCCAGCUGGAUUUCACUGUGCAAAUAUAAAAUCUAAGCAACUCCAUUUGAUAUAUACUUAACAACAAGCUCCCACCCUAGGCAGCUUAGAAAGAUGGCUGUGAAAAAUUACAAUACUAGUGAACUGGCAUUUUGAAAAUAAUUUACAGGCCACAGACGGAGAAAGAAAAUACCAGGAGGAGGCACCUAUGGUGAAAUGACUGCUGUUAUAAAAAGGAUAAGAAAUUGGUGUUAGGAUCUUAGGGAAGGUGAUAUAUUUGUAACAAAUCAACGAUGCCGUUGUAAGGCUGGUUCCACAGCAUGCUACACCAUCAGUUUCAGCUUCAAUGAAAAUUUCUAGGCAAGACAGUAUCUCCACAAUUGGAGGCAUCACCCAGGUCACUAAAGUCACUCAACAGGUAUAAGUAGUACCAGCAUAUAAACCACCAAUCCUAAAGCACAGCGAUCAUAUGCAAGAAAUUAAGGAGGGGCACUGUAGAUGUUUGUUAAAUUAAGCAUUCUGAGCACCAAGCGAAUAUAUUCCUCUUUAACCAGGCCUUUGGCUGAUUAAAUGGUCAGGGGUCCCUUUACCUUUAUCUUUACCUAGAGUAUUAAAGAUAAAGGUAAAGGGACCCCUGACCAUUAGGUCCAGUCGUGACCGACUCUGGGAUUGCGGCGCUCAUCUCGCUUUAUUGGCCAAGGGAGCCGGCGUUUGUCGCAGAAAGCUUCUGGGUCAUGUGGCCAGCAUGACUAAGCCGCUUCUGGCGAACCAGAGCAGCACACGGAAAUGCCGUUUACCUUCCUGCUGGAGCGGUACCUAUUUAUCUACUUGCACUUUGUGCUUUAGAACUGCUAGGUUGGCAGGAGCUGGGACCGAAGAACAGGAGCUCACCCCGUCACGGGGAUUUGAACCGCCAACCUUCUGAUCGGCAAGUCCUAGGCUCUGUGGUUUAACCCACAGCGCCACCAGCAUCCCGAUUAAUAUUCUACACACUUUUAUAUGUGUCUAUGGGGAGAGCGGGUUAUUGUUUUGCUGUUUUGUUUUACUCAGUGCUUUUUUUCUAAAAAAAAAGUUUAGGGGUACUCUCAUUUUCCUACUCAUAUUGAAAUACAGCCCCUCAAUGAGGCCAAACUUAGAUUCACAAAAUGUUUAGGGGUAUGCGUCCCCCAGAAAAAAGCACAGGUUUUACUUAUUUACUUGAUUUUAUCCUAUAUUUUAUUCUGUGAACUGCCCUGACAUCUUAUGAUUAAGGGCAGUAUAUAGAUAUAAUGAAUAUAAUGAAUGAAUUAAUUAAUGAACUAGAUAUAGACCCGGGUUUCCCAAACUUGGGUCUCCAGCUGUUGUUGGACUAUGAAUCCCAUCAUCUCUAGCUAGCAGCAUCAGUGGUCGGGGUAGUGGGAGUUGUAGUCCAAAAACAUCUGGAGAUCCAAGUUGGGGAAACACUGAUACAGGCUAAUAUUUAUUGGUAAUAUAUUCAGGAAAAAUCACAAAUACUUUUUCACAGAACCCACCAGUAAUGUAUGGAAUUUUCUACCCUGAAAUGUGGUAAUAGCUACCGGCUUAGAUGGCCUUGAAAGAGCAAUCUGACAAAUUUAUAGAUGCUACUGCUACCGGUAUCUUUUAAUCAUAACUGUUAAGUGGAGCCCACUUCUUCAGAAGUUCUAUGCUACCGAAUACAGGUUUCCGCAGAGCAAAAGCACACACUGUAUUUGUGAGUUUCUUGGGCACAACUGGUUAGUCACUGUGGAGACUACUAGGAUGAAGGUCCAAGGUGGUACCCAGAACCAUCGUUAUCUACACAAUAGUCUUCAACCUGUUCAGAACUGGGUGACAUGGUUUAAUCCAAACAUAUAUUUUGGGACCCAUUUAUUAUUUUGUUUGACUGUUUAUUUGUAUCAUGAUAGCACUGUUGUUGCAGGCCAACUUAGUUUGGGUUGCAACCAAGUACUGAUUCCAGAUCCCCCAACUGAAAACCAAAGAUCUGUACAAGUGUGUUAUACUUGCAUACCAGACCCUCCAAGUGUCCCUAUUUUCCAUGGACAGUCCUAGAUUUACAGAAGCUGUAUUGGUUUCUGAUUGAUCUCAGAACGUCCUGCUUUUCCUUAGGACAUCCCUAUUUUCAUUGGAGAAAUGUUGGAGGGUAUGGAGUUAUGCAACCCCCCAAGUCAUGGAGAUAAGUAACAUAUGAAGGCAGAUGUGUAUGUUAUGUUUUUAUAUAUUUUGGAAGCCACCCAGAGUGGUUGGGACAACCCAGUCAGAUGGGUGGGAUAUAAAUAAUAAAAUGAUUAUGAUUAUUGAAUAGGAUGUCCCUAUUUUCAUUGGAAAAAAUGUUGAAGGGCAUGGUAUACUCUGUUGGUAAACUUGGGUUUGCUGCUGUGUCAUGUGUGAAGGAACCCAAUAUAGUUUUAGAUCACACUAGAAAUAAUUAUUUUGUAAAGACGGAAGCAUGUCCCACUGACUUCACUGGGACUUACUCCCAUGGAUGUGUGCAUGGGAGACUUCUAAUAUGCUUCUGUUUGUAAAGCAAUACAUUUUGCUUUAUGACACAUAACUGGGUUUGUGGCAUUCAGCUGCUGCAAUCGCGUCUCAGAGGGAGUGCCUAACUGCUCUGCUUUUUGGUACAGGUGUCAAAUAGUGAUUACAAAUGCAGACAAAAAGCUCUACCUGGAUUAAGCCUGUUGUAUUCAUAACACAUUGUUUUGAUCCCCAGCGUCAACAAAAGGUAGUUAUAAUGAAAAGUGCUGCUGGUGGCAGCAUUACUCCAGAUUAAGGUCUGCAAGCCGAGUGGAAACUUUUAAUGAGUCAUAAUUUGCAUGUUUAUCAUAAUGUGCACCAGUGGCAUUUGCACUUUCAAACUGCCUAUGUUUACAUCUAAUUAUUAUUAUUUUUUUGCUAGAUAGCUUAGUUGCUGCUGAUGCAGGCUAGAAUCUUGAAGUUGCUCUUGAGAGCCAUAAUGGGACGUCCGAGAUUGGGAUCAGAGGUGAGGGAGGCUUCUGUCAAGCCAUGAUGCUCCGCUUAAAUCAGGGCACUUGGAGGGUAUGGAAAGUUAACCUAUCAUUUUUUUUCUCAACUCCCCACAGCUCUGAUGUCUUAGUCUGGCUUCUGGAAGUAUGUAUGUGGCAUGGGAGGAAGAGGAGGCUCAAGCCGGUGUUGCGUCUCCCAAAGUGCAACCUUCCGCUAGACUGCUGGUCCAUGCAGCAUCUCCUUGUUGGGAUUCUAUUCCACCUUUUGCUGCAAACAUGGGAUUGUUGCGUGUCACAUGUCUGUUUACAUUCCAGCACAGAUUGCUGGCGUAAGCGGAACUUCCGCUCUGUAUAGCUUUUGUUUUUAGCUCUCUCUCUGAGAAGACGGCAAGGAGAGGCAACAUGUUUCUUUGUCCUGAUUUAUGUUUAAUAAAUGCGUAGCUUAGUAUGUAUCUACAGCCUCAAGCCUCUUCUGUUGCGCAGUAUACACUGCUGAGAAAAGUGUGCUGAAGUCUGCAAGCUUGAGUGGCUGUUGUACGUCAGAGCAAGAGGUCGAUGAAUCUCCGCAGCGGCAAGGCUGAGAGGGAGAUGUUUCAGCUGGGGCCGAGCCAGCUGGCCUUUUGACCCCCUUACGCCGACACUCCCGUCACUGCUCAGCUCAGUGCAACCUCGCCACACUUAUCCGUGUGGCAUCUCCCAAUGCUGCUCAGGAUGUGCUGGUUCCACGGUGUCUCCCAAUGCUCUCCUGAGACCAUGGAGGAGAGGGAGGACAACAGACAAAGGUAGGAGGGGGAUGGAGGGAGCGGGGCAAGCAGGUGAGGAAAGGGUCAGCAACAGAGAGGAGGUGAGCGAUGGCAUCGUCAGGAGGGCAGGAGGUGCCCCAAAUUGUCCUCCCUAAAUGUUGAAGGGGGGUGGGUAUGACUUUCACCUUCGGCUUCAAAUUUGCUCCAAGUCAAACAGUAAGUAAAAACUGAAUUAAGCAGCCAGUGAACACACACACACACACACACACACACACACAGCCCUCUGAAAUUGUGUUUGUGAUGGAACCUCAGCAGAUUGGGUGACUUCCUAUAUUAAACUCUGUGACUGCACUGAAUUUGCAGGGAAAACAAAUCGAUAUAAUACUCCUUAUAAUGACUAUGCUUUUUUGUGUAAGUCAACAAAUCUCCUAUUAAUUAACCAGUGAUUAAAGUCAGCUUGUGAAAAUUAAUCACAGCCUGG